rnacentral:rRNA from 1 species
UACGAAGGGGGCUAGCGUUGCUCGGAAUCACUGGGCGUAAAGGGUGCGUAGGCGGGUUUUUAGGUCAGGGGUGAAAUCCUGGAGCUCAACUCCAGAACUGCCUUUGAUACUGAAGAUCUUGAGUCCGGGAGAGGUGAGUGGAACUGCGAGUGUAGAGGUGAAAAUUCGUAGAUAUUCGCAAGAACACCAGUGGCGAAGGCGGCUCACUGGCCCGGUACUGACGCUGAGGCACGAAAGCGUGGGGAGCAAACAGGA